rnacentral:rRNA from 1 species
AGAGUUUGAUCCUGGCUCAGAAUGAACGCUGGCGGCGUGCCUAACACAUGCAAGUCGAGCGAGAAAGGGAGCUUCGGUUCCCGAGUACAGCGGCGAACGGGUGAGUAACACGUGGGUAACCUACCCAGAUGCGGGGGAUACCUCACCGAAAGGUGAGUUAAUACCGCAGAUAGGCCAUCGGGACUUCGGUCCUGAUGCCCAAAGUGGGGGAUCUCUUCGGAGACCUCGCGCUUCUGGAGGGGCCCGCGCGCGAUUAGCUAGUUGGUGAGGUAAUGGCUCACCAAGGCUACGAUCGUUAGCCGGCCUGAGAGGGUGAUCGGCCACACUGGGACUGAGACACGGCCCAGACUCCUACGGGAGGCAGCAGUGGGGAAUCUUGCGCAAUGGGCGAAAGCCUGACGCAGCAACGCCGCGUGGAGGAUGAAGGCCCUCGGGUCGUAAACUCCUGUCGAGCGGGACGAUGGGGGUGCAGACUAAUAUUCUGCAUCUUUGACUGUACCGCCAGAGGAAG